UAGACGUGUCUUUCCUGGAUUUAUCACAGGAGAAGAUGGGAAAGCAGCAAGUAAAAACUGAAAGGCGUCACUAAAAGUGCUGUAAGACAUCGAAGCCUAGUGUACCACACAGAGGACAGAAGGAUAUGUGUAUCCACUUUUUUUCUUGCAGGGCUAGGCAUCAGUGGAAGCUUAUGAAGGACAUGGCAAUGGCCAGGAAACACUUCACUGUGGCACAGAAAAAAUGUGCUUCCAGGGAGUAUAAUAGGAAUGAUCAGGAAGGAUGUUAACAGUGGAAGGAGAGCAAGAAAAUGGAAACAUGUUCUUCUACGAACUGUGGAACAAGGAGGGAUCUCAGAAGACGUGUAGUAACUUCUUUUAAUAACUACCUGUGUCACUUUGGGCAAGUUGCUUAUCCUCCUUAAACUUCAAUUCUCAAGUUUUCAAAAUAAUAAUAAUACCUCACAGAGUUUCUAUGCAGAAAAAAUAAGAUAACCUAUGUCAGUAUUUUUCCUGGAACAAAAUAAGAGUUCAUUAUAUGUUAGCCUAUAACAUUUAACACUAUGAUACUACUAGC
rnacentral:lncRNA from 1 species